UUUCCGUAGGUGAACCUGCGGAAGGAUCAUUAAAAAUGAAGCCGGGAAACCGGUCCUUCUACCCUUGAUUAUCUUAAUUUGUUGCUUUGGUGGGCCGCGCAAGCACCGGCUUCGGCUGGAUCGUGCCCGCCAGAGGACACAACUCUGUAUCAAAUGUCGUCUGAGUACUAUAAAAUAGUUAAAACUUUCAACAACGGAUCUCUUGGUUCUG
rnacentral:misc_RNA from 1 species